CCAAAGCUGAUAGCCGAGGCCGGGCAUAAUUAGUAAAACAAACCAAAACCCGCUGGGCGAGUUGCCGGGACCAAUUCCGGCGGGAGAUGACCAGCAAAGGCCAGAGUGGGGAGGGAACCUCCAGGAAACGGGCUUACAUUUAUACGGCCCAGUUGCAGUUUCUGCGGCCAGUAAUGGAAUUGAAGCCUACUGUGGACAGUCUGGAUCCGUCACAAGAUUCAGACACGUCGGGGAGUGAAACCCCUGUGGUUUUCUCACCCCAAGAAAGUCCUGCUCCAACGCCGGCUGAGGACCCAGAGGACUCCACACUGGCCGAGGCCCCCCUACCACUGGCCAGUCCACCCAGGAUUGUCCAGCCCCAGC